rnacentral:rRNA from 1 species
GAUGAACGCUAGCGGCAGGCUUAAUACAUGCAAGUCGAGGGGCAGCAUGAAUGUAGCAAUACAUUUGAUGGCGACCGGCAAACGGGUGCGGAACACGUACACAACCUUCCUAUAAGUGGGGAAUAGCCCAGAGAAAUUUGGAUUAAUACCCCGUAACAUAAUGAUGUGGCAUCACAUUAUUAUUAUAGCUUCGGCGCUUAUUGAUGGGUGUGCGGCUGAUUAGAUAGUUGGCGGGGUAACGGCCCACCAAGUCUACGAUCAGUAGCUGAUGUGAGAGCAUGAUCGGCCACACGGGCACUGAGACACGGGCCCGACUCCUACGGGAGGCAGCAGUAAGGAAUAUUGGUCAAUGGACGCAAGUCUGAACCAGCCAUGCCGCGUGAAGGAUUAAGGUCCUCUGGAUUGUAAACUUCUUUUAUCUGGGACGAAAAAAGGCUAUUCUUAGUCACUUGACGGUACCAGAUGAAUAAGCACCGGCUAACUCCGUGCCAGCCGCCGCUGUAACAC